rnacentral:lncRNA from 1 species
AAGCACCAUCGAUGGUGGAAGCACAGAAGUUGUGCGAGAGGUCAAGUGGGACAUGGUCCGGAGUUUGUGGAAACAAUAACGCAUGCAAGAAUCAGUGCAUUAACCUUGAGGGAGCAAAACAUGGAUCUUGCAACUAUCGAUUCCCAUACCACAGAUGUAUCUGUUACUUCCCAUGUUAAUCAACCAAACAUCUUUGGUGGUUAAUCACGUGUGUAUUUUACAUAAAAUAAGUCUGUGUUACUCUAUGAGUAACUUUAUGACAUGCAUGUUUAUGUUUUAAUGUUUGGUUGGACUUUGUUGUUAUAAUUCAUGUACCACCUAAGACUGCAUGCAGUUUCUUGUUUGGUUGGACUUUGUUGUUAUAAUUUAUGUACGACCUUUUUAAGACUAUAUUUUCUUGUUCGUAUUUGUCAGCAGCAGCCGUCACCCAACAGGACCACUCAUUUUUAUGUAUCGAAAUCGAAGUCAUAAAACUAAAGAACAUAAAGAAAAAAAAAGACACACGACCGUUAAAGACCGAAUAAGAAUAUGUCAAAAGAAAAAAAAAAUCAUCAUUCAUAGAAAAAAAUUUAUAUUCUAGGACGUUCACGUUAUAUCACCAUAGCCACGUCAAAACCCCAAUUUAAUAGUUUGAUCAGACAAUUAAUAGAGAGGGUUUUAUGACGGUACGUGGCAAGAGUUAGACAUCCAUUAUUUUUUGGAUUAAUAAGAAUUAUAGUACAUUUUCAAAAAAUAAUUGGGAAAAUAGUACAUAUAUUAUUUAUAAUUAUAAAAAUAGUCAUAUGGACCCACAAUAUGAGAUAGAAGAAAACAUGAGAUAGGAAAAACGAGAGAAAAUAAAAUGACAUGAGGGGCAAUUUUUUUUCUCUGGAUUUUGUUUUUUUUUUUCUUUUUUUUUUCUUUUUUUCUCUUACUUUUAUCACCCCAAAAUUUUUAUAACUAACAUACUAAUUUUUGUAAAAAUAAUAUCAAUAAUAUUUUUAACACAUAAAAAUGUUUUUUUCUCUAUAAUUUGAUAUGCCUUUUGCUAAUAAAUUUUAAAUUUUUUUAUAUAUAAAUAUUUAUUUGUAUAGUUUAGCAUAUGUACAAAUGUUUUUUUUACAAUAGUAUGUGUACAGACGUAUGUACAAAAAUAUCCAUACAUAAAUAUGUACAAACAUAUCCGUACAACUUAUUAAGUGUACGAAUAUAUGUAAAAAUUACUCAUUUUUAUCCGUACAGCUAGUAUAGUAUACCAAAAUAUGCAUAUUUAUAUAUAUUUGUACACUAAUAUGCUGUACGGAUGAUAUUGUGUAAUAAUAUUAUUAUUGUACAAAAACAUAAUUUUGUACGUAUGUACAAUAAAUAUGAUGUACGAAUUAUAUUAUAUAAUUAUUUUAAUGGCAGACUCGUAAAUACUAUGUUUUCUGAGUGUUUAAAUGUCCAUAAAAUAGUAGCAAAUAGUGAUAAUGUACUAGUUUCCUAAUUGUAAAUAGUGUUUGUACUAGUUUUAUAAUUAUUUUUUAAAAAUGUAAUACUUCUCCAACACACCCUUAUUUUUUUAAAAUUAUAUUUUAUUGUAGUUUCUAAUAUUGGGUAGAGAUUUUCAUAGUCUCUCAGUUAUAUUAUUUUAAUAGAUAUAUAAUUUACUUUUUACUAUUUAUUUAAAUUUUAAAUAACAAGAAAAGAUUAAAACCGAUCACAUGAUCUCUCGAAAAGUCUCAUUUGAGAAGUGGUUCUCAUAUCUCUUUUCAAUUUUUUGUUUUAUAUUGUUAAAAAAAAUGGGUGAAGCAAUUAAGAACAUAUAAACAAAAUUAUACUCAGACUCAAACGGAGGUGUCUAAAUUGCUAUAGAGAAUACUGGACGAGCUUUUACAUACAGCAGCCAUAUAUCGUUCUUUUACUUACUUCUUUUAUUUUUUGGUAUUCAUAUUUGUUUGUAUUUGGACUAACUUGUGCAUAUCAAACUAACGUAACGCACAAUAUAUAGCAUUUUGCUUAGGUACCCUGAAUUCAAAACUAAAAACAUGAAUCCUAAACUCUAAGAAAGUUACAUCUAAUCUAAAAAAGAGUUCUAAAUACAACAAAAAGAUGUAUUUUCUGAAUUUUAAAAAAUGGAUCGCUUAUAAUAUUUCCGUAAUUCCUUUGUGCUUUUAUUUUCCUUUGUAACGAAUUUACAGAUUAUACCUUAAGCUCUAUAUCCUCUAAUUUUUGAUGAAAUUCACCGUUAUGAUGAUAGUUAGAAAAUCUACCGCCGAUGAGAGCAACGCACUGAUGAAUCACAUAAUUUACGGUUAAAGGUGUCUCCCGGUGAAAUCUAAUGGCAAAAAAACUAAUAAGAACGGUUUCUUUGUUCUGCAAAUUAACUUGGCGGAACGAUGCUACGUACUCUUGAGAUCAACCAAACAAUAUGUUGAUACAUAUACACUUGCCUAACUGUCAAAAUAUCUGACAUGACAUAUAUCAAAGUACUCUUGUAACUACCGCUUGGUUAACAUCUUAUUUUCUUGAGUCUUGACCACAUCAGAUUAUGCCGCCUAUGUAUAAAUCAUUUGCUCAAAGCCAAAGCAGCCUACUUAGAUAUUAUCAGAAAAAAUAUGUGGUGGAGAAUAACCAGCAGCCAUCAACUAUGAAUAAGUCAAGUUCUUAUCUGUUAAUAUUAGCACUAGAAGACGCUUAGUGUUUAAUUUGUGGGGUUACGAUCUGUAGUUAUAGGAUGCACACAUAUACGACUAACUCACCAUCAUUUCAUUAUAAAUAGACUCUGAUCUUAAGCUUAAUUAGUUCAUCACACAACACAUCAAUACAUACAUACAUUGAAAACAACACAGUUUAAUAAUCAUCAUGGCUAAGUUUGCUUCCAUCAUCCCCCUUAUCUUCGCUGCUCUUGUUCUCUUUGCUGCUUUUGGUGAGUAAUCAUCUUUUUUUUUUAAUGGAAUUAUGGAAAUAAUGUUUUAAAUGUUAUUUUGAUAACUAACCAUGAGAAAUAUAUACACGUAUAUGCAGAAGCACCAUCGAUGGUGGAAGCACAGAAGUUGUGCGAGAGGUCAAGUGGGACUUGGUCCGGAGUCUGUGGAAACAAUAACGCAUGCAAGAAUCAGUGCAUUAACCUUGAGGGAGCAAAACAUGGAUCUUGCAACUAUCGAUUCCCAUACCACAGAUGUAUCUGUUACUUCCCAUGUUAAUCAACCAAAAAUCUUUGGUGGCUAAACGUGUGUGUAUUUUACAUAAAAUAAGUCUGUGUUACUCUCUAUGAGUAACUUUAUGACAUGCAUGUUUAUGUUUUAAUGUUUGGUUGGACUUUGUUGUUACAAUUUAUGUACGACGUUAUAAUUAAGACUCUGUUUCUUCUUGUUCGUAUUAGACCAGUAUUAAUUUGAUUACAGCAGCUGACACCCAACAGGACCACUAAUUUUCAUGUAUCGAAAACAUAAAGAACAGAAUUUUAAAAAAAAAACACACGACCGACCGUUACCUGACCGAAUUAGGAUGUGUCAAGAAAAAAAGAAAUUCCCAUUGAUAAAACAAAAUAAAACUUCUAUUCUAGGACGUUCACUUUAUUUCACUAUAGCCAAGUGAAAACCCCAAUUUAAUAGUUUAAUCAGACUACCAAAUUCAUGAAUUGUCGAGUAGUGAAAUGUUAAUUAAUUGAGAUUGUUGAUUUUUAUUUUAUUUUUUUGUCGUACGUAGUUUCUGAUAUUGUAUAGUAAACAAUAAUAGCAAUAAUGAAUAGAAGAAAAAAAUGAUUGGGGGUGUUACAAAUAAGAACAUCUGAAUAUAUAAACAAAAUUAUACUCUUAAGCGGAGGUGUCGGUAACGCUAUAGAAAACGGGACGAGCUUUUCCUUUUACUUCCUUCUUUUACUACGUACUGCUGUUUUUACGUAUUCAAUUUUUUUGUUUUUUUGUCUGUAUUUGGACUAACUUGUUCAUCAAAAUAACGCACAAUAUAUAUAUAGCAUCUUGCUUACGUACCUUGAAUUCAAAAUUAAAAACAUGAACCUUAAACUCUCUAAAUGUAAUCUAAUCUAAGAAUAGUUCGAAACCAUACAAAAAAAAAUACGAUUUUCCUCAAUUUAAAAGAAUUCAAUCAUUAUUUUUAGUUCAAAAACAAAAUUUGAUCGCUUAUAUAAUCUAAUUUCGUAAUUACUUUAUAAACUUUUUUCUUAGUUAGUUGGUAUUUUCAGUUAUUUUGCCAAUUUCUUUGUUAACGAAUUUACGAAUCAUACCUUAAGCUCUAUAUUCACCAAUUUUGUAUGAAAUUCACCGUUACCUUCUUCUGAUAGUUAGAAAAACUACCGCCGGCGAGAGCAGCGUAAUGGAUCACAUAAUUUACGGUUAAAGGUGUUUCCUGGUGUGUUUUAACUUGCGAAAAAUCUAGCGAGAAGAGUUUCUUUUGUUCUGCAAACUUGGCAAAACGAUGUUACUCUAGAGAUCAACCAAAACAUAUCUUGAUAUACACUUUUGGUUCAAAGGAGCAGUUCCAAAACAUGCAUUUAUGAUAUGGUUUACACAUCUAAUUAUCGGCUUCCCACUAAAACAAGGCUCAAAAGUCUGGGACUGCAAAUUGAGCAAACUAGUUGCUGCCUUUGUGGUUUGUUCCCUGAAACUUGAGAGUUGAGACCAUAUGUUCCCUUCAUUGUGAAGUUAGCGAUGGCCUCUUGUCAAAACCACCAACAAAGAUUUGGAUACAACUCGUUUAUUUUCCACACUUGGAGUGCGUUCUCAGCUUGGUUAGACUUUAAAGACUCAACAUCACCUCUUUUUUUUUUGGCAGGAAACAAUUAAUCUUUUGUAACUUUUACAAACUUUUUCAUCUAAUGAAAAUUCACAUUUCUGUUAAAGGAAAAAAAAAAACUGUGAAAAUAUCUGACACAUCAAAAUAAUCGUGUAAAUUAACUACCGCUUGGUUAUAUUACGAUCUUAUUUUCUUGAGUCUUGACCACAUCAGAUUAAGCAGCCGCCUAUGUAAACGAUGUAUGAUUAGCUCAAAACCAAAGCAGCCACCAAGAUAUUAUUAUUAGAGAAAAAUAUGUGGUGGAGAAUAACCAGCCAUCAACUAUGAAAAAGUCAAGUUUUUAUCAUGCUAAUACCAAUCAGCUGCUAGAAGACACUUAGUGUUUAAUUUGUGGGGUUACGAAACGUGAUUAUACGAUGCCCAAAUAGAUCGACUAAUUAACUCACCAUCGUUUCACUAUAAAUAGAAGUUGAUCUUUAGCUUAUUUCAUCACACAACACAUACAUACACAUACAUUGAAAACAAGAUAGUAAAAAUCAACAUGGCUAAGUUUGCUUCCAUUAUCACCCUUCUCUUCGCUGCUCUUGUUCUCUUUGCUGCUUUUGGUGAGUAAUCAUCUUAUCAUAUCAAUGAAAAUGUGUGUUUAAAUGUUAUUUUCAUUUAUUUGGAUAACUAACCAUGAGAAAUAUAUGCAUGCAUGAUGCAUCUGUAGAAGCACCGGCAAUGGUAAACGCACAGAAGUUGUGCGAGAGGUCAAGUGGGACUUGGUCCGGAGUCUGCGGAAACAACAACGCUUGCAAGAAUCAGUGCAUUAACCUUGAGGGAGCAAAACAUGGAUCUUGCAAUUAUCGAUUCCCAUACCACAGAUGUAUCUGUUACUUCCCAUGUUAAUCAACCAAACAUCUUCGGUGGUUAAACGUGUGUGCAUUUUACAUAAAAUAAGUCUACGUCACUUUACGAGUGACUCUUAUGAGUAUGACAUGCAUCUUUCUGUUUUAAUGUUCGGUGGUGUGACUUUGUUGUUAUGAUAAUAUAAUAUUUUUCUUCUUGUUUAAUUUGUCUUCAACACGGUCAGUAAUGAAAUAUACAUGUAAUCCAACUCGACCCCUUGUAUUGAAAAAAAAAAAAAACUUGUGUGUAAAUGAAAAUGAUCCACGACAAACUAUGAAUUGUCCAAUUACAUGACCGAAUUAAAAUAUAUUGUAGCUAGGAAGUUCACGUUAAAUCCCAAUUAUAUUGGUCUACCAAAUUCACGUUGCAGAAAUGAAAUAUUACUUACGAGUAAAAAUUACGAUAAACAAAAAAUGAUUUUGAACUUAGAAGCUUUUGUUUCAAACAAAAGGUUUCGCUUUCAGGUCUUGAUCUAGAUCUUGUGUCCAAUUAAUAAUUUAAAUUUAUGUUUGGGAUCGGUUACAGUUACAAUCUUGGUUGAGUUUAAUUUUAUUUAAAACUUGACUUAUAUAUUUAUUAGCAGAAACACCAACAAUGGUGGAAGAACGUACACAAGUUGUGAAGUUACGUUGUGCGAGUUGGACAGUCAUAGAAACAAUAAUGCAACAAAAAUAAGUGCAUUAUAGCCUUGAAAACGUACAACAUGGAAGACUAGGCCCGGCGUAAAGGGGGUGCGGGAGCACCGGGACUCUUCAGUUUUGGUAAUUUUUUAAAGGUUUUAGGACCCUCAAUUUUUGAUAUUUUUACAUACAAGGGCCUCAAAUUUCUGAAAUUUGCAAAUAAAACCCUAACUAAAAGAAGAAAUUUUUUUGGCACAAGGUCCAAGAAAAACUUGAGCCGGGCCCUCCAUGGAACUUGCAAGUUGCAACUAUGUCCCCAGCUCACAAAUGAUCUGCUACUUCCCAUAUUAAGUUAUCUAUAUGGUCAUGUGUCUGUAUUUCCAAUUUUCCAUAAACUAAUAAGUCAUAUGUUCUGCUCAAAAAUCUACAUGUGUCUGUCACUCAAUGAAUGAGCGUAUUACAUGUAUCCAUUAUGUUUAUGUUGGCUUGUUUUAAUUGGAUUUUACUACAUACUACUGUUUCCUUAUCCAUAUUUGUUUUUCUGAUUAGUGCACUUUCCCUAACUGUGGACAGAGAUUCACCGAGGCCUGAGACAACCAUUUCCAGCAUCAUCAGGUCGAUUAAGAAGAACAAUUAAUUAACUUUGUUUUGAAAUGACCAGCUGCCAUAGUUGAAGUUGAUUAAGAUUUUUUAAGUUAUGCGGUUAAAUGAACUAAUAAUGUUAUACAAUUAAUCACUUCUUAGGAAGUUAGGGGGUGGGAAGGGGUAUUGGAAGACGGAUUUAAGAAGAUUUUGGGUUUUUCUUAACCAGCUCAGAAGAUUCCCCAUAUUAUAAACCGGUGACAAUGACAUACUAUUAUUGGAUUGAGGAUAUUUCUUGCGAUUCAAGCAAAUGACCAAUUAUUGUAUCAUUGAUCCCAUUUUCUCCUAGCUCUAUGCUCAUGUAACGAACGGUCUGCAAAAAUUUCCGACAAAUCAUAACUACUUGUGUAACUCGGCUUGGUUAAAAAAUGUAAAAUCUUAUUUUCUUGAGUGGUGACCAAAUCAGAUUAACCAGCGCUACCAAACUGAACAAUGAAUAUGUAGCAUUAACUCAAAUCCAAAGCAACCAGUUUAGAUAUUAUCAGAGAAAGAUAUGUGGUGGAGAAACCAGCCAUCAAUUAUGAAUAAGUCAAGAUCUUAUUACUACAACUAGCUAUACUAGAAGACACUGCGAGAUUAAUUUGUGGGGUUGCGAUCCGUAAUUAUACGAUGCAAAAAUAGAAGACUAACUCACCACUAUUUCAUUAUAAAUAGAGGCUGAUCUUAAGCUUAUUUUAUCACACAGCACAAUACAUAUAUACAUCGAAAACAAAGUAGUAAAAAUCAUCAUGGCUAAGUCUGCUUCCAUCAUCACCCUUAUCUUCGCUGCUCUUGUUCUCUUUGCUGCUUUUGGUUAGUAAUGAUCUUAUCAUAUAUGCAAAAUAGUGUUUUAAAUGUUAUUUUCAUUUAUUUUGAUAACUAACCAUGAUAAGUAUAUACAUGAAUCUGCAGAAGCACCAGCAAUGGUGGAAGCACAGAAGUUUUGCGAGAGGUCAAGUGGGACUUGGUCCGGAGUCUGUGGAAACAACGGCGCUUGCAGGAAUCAGUGCAUUAACCUUGAAAGAGCACACCAUGGAUCUUGCAACUAUCGAUUCCCAUACCACAGAUGUAUCUGUUAUUUCCCAUGUUAAUCAACCAAACAUCUUUGGUUGUUAAACGUGUGUGUAUUUUACAUAAAAUAAGUCUCGGUUACUCUAUGAGUGACUUUUAUGACAUGCAUGUUUAUGUUUUAAUGUUUGGUG